rnacentral:rRNA from 1 species
AUUGAACGCCGGCGGCAUGCCUUACACAUGCAAGUCGAACGGUAACAGGUCUUCGGAUGCUGACGAGUGGCGAACGGGUGAGUAAUACAUCGGAACGUGCCUAGUAGUGGGGGAUAACUACUCGAAAGAGUGGCUAAUACCGCAUGAGAUCUGCGGAUGAAAGCAGGGGAUCGCAAGACCUUGUGCUACUAGAGCGGCCGAUGGCAGAUUAGGUAGUUGGUGGGAUAAAAGCUUACCAAGCCGACGAUCUGUAGCUGGUCUGAGAGGACGAUCAGCCCCACUGGGACUGGGACACGGCCCAGACUCCUACGGGAGGCAGCAGUGGGGAAUUUUGGACAAUGGGCGCAAGCCUGAUCCAGCAAUGCCGCGUGCAGGAUGAAGGCCUUCGGGUUGUAAACUGCUUUGUACGGAACGAAAAGCCCUAGGUUAAUACCCUGGGGUCAUGACGGUACCGUGAGAAUAAGCACCGGCUAACUACGUGCCAGCCGCCGCGGUAAAAC